rnacentral:rRNA from 1 species
GCAAGUCGAGGGGUAACGAAGGGAGCUUGCUCCCUGGCGACGACCGGCGGACGGGUGAGUAAUGCACGGGAAUCUGCCUUUCAGUGGGGGAUAGCUUGGAGAAAUCCAAAUUAAUACCGCAUAUAGCCUAAGGGUGAAAGAGGGGGACCGCAAGGCCUCUCGCUGAAAGAUGAGCUCAUGUGGGAUUAGCUGUUGGUGAGGUAAUGGCUCACCAAGGCAACGAUCUCUAGCUGAUUUGAGAGGAUGAUC